GCUGCCGAGAAAAGCAUCGGCGUGAGGUUUUAGCCGCCCGUACCCUAAACCGACACAGGUGAUCAGGUAGAGAAUACUAAGGCGAUCGAGAGAAUCAUGGUUAAGGAACUCGGCAAAAUGCCCCCGUAACUUCGGGAGAAGGGGGACCUUGAGCGUGAUGGGCACUUGCUGCCUGGAGCGUGUAUGGGUCGCAGAGACCAGGGGGAAGCGACUGUUUAUCAAAAACACAGGUCCGUGCGAAGUCGUAAGACGAUGUAUACGGACUGACUCCUGCCCGGUGCUGGAAGGUUAAGAGGAUUGGUUAGCUCUUUUGGGCGAAGCUGAGAAUUUAAGCCCCAGUAAACGGCGGUGGUAACUAUAACCAUCCUAAGGUAGCGAAAUUCCUUGUCGGGUAAGUUCCGACCUGCACGAAUGGAGUAACGACUUCCCUACUGUCUCAACCAUGAACUCGGCGAAAUUGCAGUACGAGUAAAGAUGCUCGUUUCGCGCAGCAGGACGAAAAGACCCCGUGACCUUUACUAUAGUUUGGUAUUGGUGUUUGGUUUGGCUUGUGUAGGAUAGGUGGGAGACUGUGAAGCAUGGACGCUAGUUUGUGUGGAGUCGUUGUUGAAAUACCACUCUGGUCAAUCUGGAUGUCUAACUUCGGGCCAUGAUCUGGUUCAGGGACAGUGCCUGAUGGGUAGUUUAACUGGGGCGGUUGCCUCCUAAAGUGUAACGGAGGCGCCCAAAGGUUCCCUCAGCCUGGUUGGCAAUCAGGUGUUGAGUGUAAGUGCACAAGGGAGCUUGACUGUGAGACUGGCAGGUCGAGCAGGGACGAAAGUCGGGACUAGUGAUCCGGCGGUACGUUGUGGAACGGCCGUCGCUCAACGGAUAAAAGGUACCUCGGGGAUAACAGGCUGAUCUUGCCCAAGAGUCCAUAUCGACGGCAUGGUUUGGCACCUCGAUGUCGGCUCGUCGCAUCCUGGGGCUGGAGUCGGUCCCAAGGGUUGGGCUGUUCGCCCAUUAAAGCGGUACGCGAGCUGGGUUCAGAACGUCGUGAGACAGUUCGGUCCCUAUCCGCUGCGCGCGUUGGAAAUUUGAGAAAGGCUGUCCUUAGUACGAGAGGACCGGGACGGACGAACCUCUGGUAUGUCAGUUGUACCGCCAGGUGCAUGGCUGAUUGGCUACGUUCGGGAGGGAUAACCGCUGAAAGCAUCUAAGCGGGAAGCCUGUUUCGAGAUGAGAUUUCC
rnacentral:rRNA from 1 species